AGUAGCCAGUAGGUAUCAGUAAAUUAAUCUCUUAACUAGACUUUAUCCUUUUUCCAGAUUAAUAGUUCUUAUAUUAUUCAUAAAUAAAUGAAACAAACUUCAAUUUUAAAAUAUAAAUGAAACAAAAUUUCAAUUUAAAAAUAAAUAAUAGUCUACUCAUUUAACAACGUAAGAAGCAAAUGAUUGUGUUACUUUUCCAUCCUCCAUUCUCAUACACAAAUUAAACAUGUUGAAGACCAAAGUUGACCCUGUCCAAGUAUAUCUCAAGUCUCCUCAUACGUAUCUAACCCGGCCAUUGAUCUAUUCCAAAUCACAUAUUUCAUCUUUAUCCAUUGACUGACUCUAACUCGUCGUCUCAAAACAAAACAAUUAUACAAAGUGUUUUCUAGAUUCUACAUCCUCUUCACUUGGACGGUUCUGAGUAUGAAGCACGAAUACGUAAUCCGGAUGCAGGUGCGAUGCAAUAUAGUUAAGAUACGUUAAUAAAAGGUAAACAAUAAAACUUAUAAAUAUGUAAAAUACUUAAUAUACAUUGAUCGAUCAUUCUUCAUUAAUUUAUAAUUAUAGACGUCAUAAUUUAUAAAAAAAAAAAAAAAAAUGUGAUCAAAUGACAAAGUGGAGAGUUUUUUUAUAAACCAUAACCUAUUUUCAUCGCUAUGUUUGUAUAUCAACAAAAGAAUAAUUGAAAGAAUAAUUCACUCAUACUAUAAUUUUCAUAGCUUUUACAAGCUUAAAAUGAAUAAUGUGCAUCUCUAUUGAAUUUACAUAGCUUUUACUACAUUUUGAUAUGUUGCGAUCGAUUGAAUAAACAUCUUUUUAUGUUUUAGCACCACCUUACCCUAUGUAAUUGGGCAUCAUAAGUCGUCAUAAGUACAAUUAUUGAAAUAUUUUACUAUUUAAUUGUAUAUCAAUAUCUUUAUCAUUAUAUAGAUAAAUAUCUUUGUUUUAGUUAUAUUUUUUAUUUAUCAAUCAAGAGCCUUCAUAACGGGUGUUCAAAUUAAGUAAGAAUGUAAUUUCGGCAACAUCGUAGCUGAUUCUUUGGCCAAGAAUGUCCAAAGCUUUGCUAUGUUCUCUUCACAAAGGUGGAAUUCCCCUCCUUCUUUUGUUGUUUCUUUGCUUUCUAGAAACUCUUUAGGGUUACCUAUUUCUAGGGUGUCUAUGGAUUGAUUUUGUAAGCGGUUCAGGCAGCUCUUGAUUUCUUUUUAUUGCAUUUCUAGCUUUAUCAAUAAAAAGUUAUUUAGAUUUCUAUUUAAGUAAGAAUGUUACUUAGAUUUCUCUUUAUAUCAAUAAUUGAGAUGAGAUCAAAUAUGAGUGAAUGUUAAAUGAUCCAUUUCGAAAUACCAAAAAUCGAAAUUUGUCAUCACGACACAUGCGGACGCACAUUAUGGUUCUUGUGUACCGUACACAAACAUAUUGUCUCUUCUCUCCAUCUGAAAAGUAUUCAAAGCACUAUGAAUAUUAGUUGAGCAAAUACUACAAGUCAUGAUUGUUCAUUACCCGUCUUUCUCUUUAUCUUUUAGAUCACAUAAUGAGUGACUAUUGACAAUGGAUCCAUCUAUUCAUAAUAUUUUUUAUGAAACGUCUUGUAGAUCUUAAA
rnacentral:lncRNA from 1 species